GCUUACGGCCAUACCACCCUGAACACGCCCGAUCUCGUCUGAUCUCGGAAGCUAAGCAGGGUCGGGCCUGGUCAGUACUUGGAUGCGAGACCGCCUGGGAAUACCAGGUGCUGUAAGCU
rnacentral:rRNA from 1 species